rnacentral:rRNA from 1 species
UACGUAGGGUGCAAGCGUUAAUCGGAAUUACUGGGCGUAAAGCGUGCGCAGGCGGUGAUGUAAGACAGAUGUGAAAUCCCCGGGCUCAACCUGGGAACUGCAUUUGUGACUGCAUCGCUGGAGUGCGGCAGAGGGAGGUAGAAUUCCACGUGUAGCAGUGAAAUGCGUAGAGAUGUGGAGGAAUACCGAUGGCGAAGGCAGCCUCCUGGGCCAACACUGACGCUCAUGCACGAAAGCGUGGGGGAGCAAACAGG